GUGAUGACCAUUCUACAUCGUUUCCACCUACGGCCGUGGUGGUUGCUCUUCUACGACUCCUCUCUCGAGCUUCGCACAUGGUGAUUGUUACUCUACACGGACUCCUCCCGCGACAGUCACCAACUGUGUUGGUGCAUAUGACCCCAUCAACAUGCGACUUCCUGCGCUUGGAGCUUGUCUGCAUGCGCCUUCGUCUCCUUCACCGACCUCUAAUGGAUGAUGUUGGUUAUGGAACGCUGCCUCCUCUCUCCCGGUGCCACUAUGACGCCUACUUCAGUUGUGUCCUUCACUGAGGAGGAGAUUGCGCGACUUCGCGCCCUACUGUCGGGUGCAUCUACAUCGACAUCUUC
rnacentral:lncRNA from 1 species